rnacentral:ribozyme from 1 species
ACCACGAAUUUGCCCUACAACGGGAUGGGACCUGAGUCCUCCUGAAGAUUCCAUCCAACUCCUAUUCGGACAAGUCCACGUCGUGCAGGGUGAUAACAUGGGCCUAAACCUAACCUUUUGGGUGGGUGACUGCUCAUGCCUAAGGAGGAAGGG